rnacentral:misc_RNA from 1 species
GCCGACAAGGGUUGGUUUAUAAUUAGUUGCAAGAUUCAAUUAGCGCUACCAUUAGGUUGAGUAUUUGAGUCUCUCAAUUAGAAUAAGAAGGUUAGCGGUAUGUACCGACUCUGGACUGGGUGCCUCUCCUCACCUAAAGGUUUCAAUUCAAAAUUUCCCAGGUACCAAAAAGACAAUAAUAUUCUUCAGGUUAGAGGAGAA